rnacentral:rRNA from 1 species
GACGAACGCUGGCGGCGUGCUUAACACAUGCAAGUCGAACGGAAAGGCCUUUUCGGAGGUACUCGAGUGGCGAACGGGUGAGUAACACGUGGGUGAUCUGCCCUGCACUCUGGGAUAAGCCUGGGAAACUGGGUCUAAUACCGGAUAGGACCGCACUUUAGUGUGUGUGGUGGAAAGUUUUUUCGGUGUAGGAUGAGCCCGCGGCCUAUCAGCUUGUUGGUGGGGUAAUGGCCUACCAAGGCGGCGACGGGUAGCCGGACUGAGAGGUUGGUCGGCCACAUUGGGACUGAGAUACGGCCCAGACUCCUACGGGAGGCAGCAGUGGGGAAUAUUGCACAAUGGGCGCAAGCCUGAUGCAGCGACGCCGCGUGGGGGAUGACGGCCUUCGGGUUGUAAACUCCUUUCGCCAGGGACGAAGCGUUUUGUGACGUUACCUGGAGAAGAAGCACCGGCUAACUACGUG